AUACGGGGGGUGCAAGCGUUAAUCGGAAUUACUGGGCGUAAAGCGCGCGUAGGCGGUUUGCUCAGUCGGAUGUGAAAGCCCUGGGCUCAACCUGGGAAUUGCAUUCGAUACUGCCUGACUAGAGUAUGGUAGAGGGAAGUGGAAUUUCCGGUGUAGCGGUGAAAUGCGUAGAUAUCGGAAGGAACACCAGUGGCGAAGGCGACUUCCUGGGCCAAUACUGACACUGAGGUACGAAAGCGUGGGGAGCAAACAGGAUUAGAAACCCCAGUAGUCC
rnacentral:rRNA from 1 species